rnacentral:rRNA from 1 species
UACGUAGGUGGCAAGCGUUGUCCGGAAUUAUUGGGCGUAAAGCGCACGCAGGCGGUCCUUUAAGUCUGAUGUGAAAGCCCACGGCUCAACCGUGGAGGGUCAUUGGAAACUGGGGGACUUGAGUGCAGGAGAGAAGAGUGGAAUUCCACGUGUAGCGGUGAAAUGCGUAGAGAUGUGGAGGAACACCAGUGGCGAAGGCGACUCUUUGGCCUGUAACUGACGCUGAGACACGAAAGCGUGGGUAGCAAACAGG